rnacentral:rRNA from 1 species
UACGAAGGGGGCUAGCGUUGCUCGGAAUUACUGGGCGUAAAGCGCACGUAGGCGGUCUUUUAAGUCGGGGGUGAAAUCCUGGAGCUCAACUCCAGAACUGCCUUCGAUACUGGCGAUCUUGAGUCCGGAAGAGGUGAGUGGAACUCCUAGUGUAGAGGUGGAAUUCGUAGAUAUUAGGAAGAACACCAGUGGCGAAGGCGGCUCACUGGUCCGGUACUGACGCUGAGGUGCGAAAGCGUGGGGAGCAAACAGG